rnacentral:rRNA from 1 species
CCUACGGGGUGCAGCAGUAGGGAAUAUUGCUCAAUGGGGGAAACCCUGAAGCAGCAACGCCGCGUGGAGGAUGAAGGUUUUCGGAUUGUAAACUCCUUUUGUUAGAGAAGAUAAUGACGGUAUCUAACGAAUAAGCACCGGCUAACUCUGUGCCAGCAGCCGCGGUAAUACGGAGGGUGCAAGCGUUACUCGGAAUCACUGGGCGUAAAGCGCGCGUAGGCGGGAUAGCAAGUCAGAUGUGAAAUCCUAUGGCUUAACCAUAGAACUGCAUUUGAAACUGUUAUUCUAGAGUAUGGGAGAGGUAGGUGGAAUUCUUGGUGUAGGGGUAAAAUCCGUAGAGAUCAAGAGGAAUACUCAUUGCGAAGGCGACCUGCUAGAACAUAACUGACGCUGAUGCGCGAAAGCGUGGGGAGCAAACAGGAUUAGAUACCCCUGUAGUC